AAUAGGCUAAUUAAGAGCGUAAGGGGAAUGCCUUGGCUCUCAGAGGCGAUGAAGGACGUGAUAAGCUGCGAUAAGCUUUGGGGAGUGGCACAAACACUUUGAUCCGAAGAUUUCCGAAUGGGGCAACCCGGCAUAUUGAAGAUAUGUCACACUGUAAAGUGAGCAAACCUGGUGAACUGAAACAUCUAAGUAACCAGAGGAAUAGAAAACAAAAGUGAUUCCGCUAGUAGUGGCGAGCGAACGUGGAACAGCCCAAACCUAUGUUGUUACGGCAAUAUA
rnacentral:rRNA from 1 species